rnacentral:rRNA from 1 species
UACGGAGGAUGCAAGCGUUAUCCGGAAUGAUUGGGCGUAAAGCGUCCGCAGGUGGCGAUGUAAGUCUGCUGUUAAAGAGUCUAGCUCAACUAGAUAAAAGCAGUGGAAACUACAUAGCUAGAGUACGUUCGGGGCAGAGGGAAUUCCUGGUGUAGCGGUGAAAUGCGUAGAGAUCAGGAAGAACACCAGUGGCGAAGGCGCUCUGCUAGGCCGUAACUGACACUGAGGGACGAAAGCUAGGGGAGCGAAUGGG